rnacentral:misc_RNA from 1 species
GUGCCUGUUUACGAUAGUAUCGCAGCAAUAUUUCGUUUUUCGUUCGAUCAAAACUUUACUACACACGAUUCACAUUGUUCACACGACGAGUAAACGCGAAGAUACGUUCCGAUGGCGAUUGCCACGCGAUUUCUCUUCAUUUUCACGAGAGGUUCGAUUCGCGAAACAAAAUAUUAAUUUUCUCGAGAAAAAUUUCGCGUCUAUAUGCGCGACAUGGUAUAUAGGACGACGCGACACGCACCACGUCUUGAUUCGGUGGCAGAUUUACCCUGACUGGGGUGAUUCUUGGCCGUAGGAGCAUGCGCGCUUCUGAUCCACCUCCUGUGAUGGUGGAAACGCGCAGAGGGUCCACGAACAAGGUCCGCGCACACGUAAACUUCUCUCGACACACCGAGCUUCGAAACACACGUAUGAUGCCACGGAUGCGAGCGAACCUCACCGACACGAUGCUGGGUCAGCGUAGGUGUAGUGUUAAGGGUAGCUCGCGUCGGUCACGACGUACGGCACUGUGUGUCACGGACAGAAAGUGUGGCAGGGCGUGCAAGGAGUACAGAAUCGAGAUUCCCACGCAGCGUAGAAACAAGGGGUUACGCGGGUCGGUCGCAUGUUAACGCGCAGCACGUGUACACGGGCUUUACAAG